UAGGGAAUCUUCCACAAUGGACGCAAGUCUGAUGGAGCAACGCCGCGUGAGUGAAGAAGGUUUUCGGAUCGUAAAGCUCUGUUGUUGGUGAAGAAGGAUAGAGGUAGUAACUGGCCUUUAUUUGACGGUAAUCAACCAGAAAGUCACGGCUAACUACGUGCCA
rnacentral:rRNA from 1 species